rnacentral:rRNA from 1 species
UACGGAGGGGGCUAGCGUUGUUCGGAAUUACUGGGCGUAAAGCGUGCGUAGGUGGUUUGUUAAGUCUGAUGUGAAAGCCCUGGGCUCAACCUGGGAAUUGCAUUGGAUACUGGCAGGCUAGAGUGCGGUAGAGGAUGGCGGAAUUCCCGGUGUAGCAGUGAAAUGCGUAGAGAUCGGGAGGAACAUCUGUGGCGAAGGCGGCCAUCUGGACCAGCACUGACACUGAGGCACGAAAGCGUGGGGAGCAAACAGG